AGACAUCUCCGGGUUGUCAAAGGAGUGAUCCGGCAGAGGAUGGACAUGCGGCGCAUUAGCUAGUCGGCGGGGUAACGGCCCACCGAGGCUACGAUGCGUAGGGGUUCUGAGAGGAAGGUCCCCCACACUGGUACUGAGACACGGACCAGACUCCUACGGGAGGCAGCAGUGAGGAAUAUUGGUCAAUGGGCGGAAGCCUGAACCAGCCAAGUCGCGUGAGGGAAGACGGUCCUAUGGAUUGUAAACCUCUUUUGCAGGGGAGCAAGGCGCGGUACGUGUACCGCGAAGGAGAGUACCCUGAGAAAAAGCAUCGGCUAACUCCGUGCCAGCAGCCGCGGUAAUACGGAGGAUGCGAGCGUUAUCCGGAUUUAUUGGGUUUAAAGGGUGCGCAGGCGGACUGUUAAGUCAGCGGUAAAAUGUCGGUGCUCAACACCGGCCGGCCGUUGAAACUGGCAGCCUUGAGUGAGCGAGAAGUAUGCGGAAUGCGUGGUGUAGCGGUGAAAUGCAUAGAUAUCACGCAGAACUCCGAUUGCGAAGGCAGCAUACCGGCGCUCAACUGACGCUCAGGCACGAAAGCGUGGGUAUCGAACAGGCUUAGAUACCCUGGUAGUCCACGCAGUAAACGAUGAAUGCUCACUGUCCGGGCCGUUUAAGGCCUGGGUGGUCAAG
rnacentral:rRNA from 1 species